UACGGAGGGGGCAAGCGUUGUUCGGAAUUACUGGGCGUAAAGGGCGCGUAGGCGGCGCGGGCAGUCAACGGUGAAAGCUCGGAGCUCAACUCCGAGUCGGCCGUCGAUACUCCCGUGCUUGAGCACUGUAGAGGCAGAUGGAAUUCCGGGUGUAGCGGUGGAAUGCGUAGAGAUCCGGAAGAACACCGGUGGCGAAGGCGGUCUGCUGGGCAGUAGCUGACGCUGAUGCGCGACAGCGUGGGGAGCAACAGG
rnacentral:rRNA from 1 species